UACGUAGGGUGCAAGCGUUGUCCGGAAUUAUUGGGCGUAAAGAGCUCGUAGGCGGUCUGUCGCGUCGGCUGUGAAAACCCGGGGCUCAACCCCGGGCCCGCAGUCGAUACGGGCAGACUAGAGUGCGGUAGGGGAGACUGGAAUUCCUGGUGUAGCGGUGAAAUGCGCAGAUAUCAGGAGGAACACCGGUGGCGAAGGCGGGUCUCUGGGCCGUAACUGACGCUGAGGAGCGAAAGCGUGGGGAGCGAACAGG
rnacentral:rRNA from 1 species